UACGUAGGCAGCAAGCGUUGUUCGGAGUUACUGGGCGUAAAGGGUGUGUAGGCGGUUGUUUAAGUUUGGUGUGAAAUCUCCCGGCUCAACUGGGAGGGUGCGCCGAAUACUGAAUGACUAGAGUGCGGGAGAGGAAAGUGGAAUUCCUGGUGUAGCGGUGAAAUGCGUAGAUAUCAGGAGGAACACCGGUGGUGUAGACGGCUUUCUGGACCAUUACUGACGCUGAGGAGCGAAAGCCAGGGGAGCAAACGGG
rnacentral:rRNA from 1 species